AACGCACAUUGCGCCCCGUGGUAUUCCGCGGGGCAUGCCUGUUCGAGCGUCAUUUCACCAAUCAAGCCUCGCUUGGCCAUGGGCACCGCGGUUAACCCCGCGCGCCCCAAUGUCUCCGGCUGAGCCGUCCGUCUCUAAGCGUUGUGGUUUUAUCAAUUCGCUUCGGAGUGCGGGCGCGUUCGCGCCGUUAAACUUUCUCAAGGUUGACCUCGGAUCAGGUAGGGAUACCCGCUGAACUUAA
rnacentral:misc_RNA from 1 species